rnacentral:rRNA from 1 species
CCCCGGAGAGGGGAGUGAAAUAGAUCCUGAAACCGUGUGCGUACAAGCAGUAGGAGCUCGCAAGAGUGACUGCGUACCUUUUGUAUAAUGGGUCAGCGACUUACUGUUCGUGGCAAGCUUAACCGUAUAGGGGAGGCGAAGGGAAACCGAGUCUGAUAAGGGCGCAUAGUCGCGGGCAGUAGACCCGAAACCGGGUGAUCUAGUCAUGGCCAGGGUGAAGGUGCCGUAACAGGUACUGGAGGCCCGAACCCACGUCUGUUGCAAAAGACGGGGAUGAGCUGUGAUUAGGAGUGAAAAGCUAAUCGAACCCGGAGAUAGCUGGUUCUCCUCGAAAGCUAUUUAGGUAGCGCCUCAUAUGUAUCCUCUCGGGGGUAGAGCACUGUUAUGGCUAGGGGGUCAUCGCGACUUACCAAACCAUUGCAAACUCCGAAUACCGAGACGGACUGUAUGGGAGACACACGGCGGGUGCUAACGUCCGUCGUGAAAAGGGAAACAACCCAGACCCACAGCUAAGGUCCCAAAUUCACUGCUAAGUGGAAAACGAUGUGGAAAGGCAUAGACAGCCAGGAGGUUGGCUUAGAAGCAGCCACCCUUUAAAGAAAGCGUAAUAGCUCACUGGUCGAGUCGGUCUGCGCGGAAGAUUUAACGGGGCUAAGCAGUGAACCGAAGCUUGGGGUGCAUAAAACUUGUUUUAUGCGCGGUAGAGGAGCGUUCCGUAAGCCUGCGAAGGUGGAUUGAGAAGUCUGCUGGAGGUAUCGGAAGUGCGAAUGCUGACAUGAGUAACGAUAAUGCGGGUGAAAAGCCCGCACGCCGAAAGCCCAAGGUUUCCUUGCGCAACGUUAAUCGACGCAGGGUUAGUCGGUCCCUAAGGCGAGGGCGAAAGCCGUAGUCGAUGGGAAGCAGGUUAAUAUUCCUGCACCUCGCGUGAGUGCGAUGGAGGGACGGAGAAGGUUAGGUGUACCGGGCGUUGGUUGUCCCGGGGAAAGGCGGUAGGUUUGGAUCUUUGGCAAAUCCGGGAUCCUUUAAGACCGAGCACCGAGACGAGCCUUUAUGGCGAAGUCACUGAUACCACGCUUCCAGGAAAAGCUCCUAAGCUUCAGCUCACGAAGACCGUACCGUAAACCGACACAGGUGGGUAGGAUGAGAAUUCUCAGGCGCUUGAGAGAACUCGGGUGAAGGAACUAGGCAACAUGGCACCGUAACUUCGGGAGAAGGUGCACCCUUUUUGGUGGCUCGUGCGAGCUAUAGCUGAAGAGGGUCGCAGAAACCAGGCCGCUGCGACUGUUUAUCAAAAACACAGCACUCUGCAAACACGAAAGUGGACGUAUAGGGUGUGACGCCUGCCCGGUGCUGGAAGGUUAAUUGAUGGGGUCAGCCGCAAGGCGAAGCUCUUGAUCGAAGCCCCAGUAAACGGCGGCCGUAACUAUAACGGUCCUAAGGUAGCGAAAUUCCUUGUCGGGUAAGUUCCGACCUGCACGAAUGGCGUAACGACAGCGGCGCUGUCUCCACCCGAGACUCAGUGAAAUUGAAAUCGCUGUGAAGAUGCAGCGUUCCCGUGGCAAGACGGAAAGACCCCGUGAACCUUUACUAUAGCUUUACACUGAACGUUGAGUUCGUCUGUGUAGGAUAGGUGGGAGGCUAUGAAACUGUGGCGCUAGCUGCAGUGGAGCCAUCCUUGAAAUACCACCCUGUCGUGCUUGACGUUCUAACCUAGGUCCGUUAUCCGGAUCAGGGACCGUGUAUGGUGGGUAGUUUGACUGGGGCGGUCUCCUCCUAAAGAGUAACGGAGGAGCACGAAGGUACGCUCAGCGCGGUCGGACAUCGCGCACUGUGUGCAAAGGCAUAAGCGUGCUUGACUGCAAGAUCGACGGAUCAAGCAGGUACGAAAGUAGGUCUUAGUGAUCCGGUGGUUCUGUAUGGAAGGGCCAUCGCUCAACGGAUAAAAGGUACUCCGGGGAUAACAGGCUGAUACCGCCCAAGAGUUCAUAUCGACGGCGGUGUUUGGCACCUCGAUGUCGGCUCAUCACAUCCUGGGGCUGUAGUCGGUCCCAAGGGUAUGGCUGUUCGCCAUUUAAAGUGGUACGCGAGCUGGGUUCAGAACGUCGUGAGACAGUUCGGUCCCUAUCUGCCAUGGGCGUUGGAAGUUUGAGAGGGGCUGCUCCUAGUACGAGAGGACCGGAGUGGACGAACCUCUGGUGUUCCGGUUGUCACGCCAGUGGCAUUGCCGGGUAGCUAUGUUCGGAAGCGAUAACCGCUGAAAGCAUCUAAGCGGGAAGCGCGCCUCAAGAUGAGACUUCCCGGGGCACAAGCCCCCUAAAGGAACCAUGUAGACUACGUGGUUGAUAGGUCAGGUGUGUAAGUACAGCAAUGUAUUGAGCUAACUGAUACUAAUGAUCCGUGCGGCUUGACC